rnacentral:rRNA from 1 species
AACGAACGCUGGCGGCGCGCCUAACACAUGCAAGUCGAGCGGACCCGCAAGGGUCAGCGGCGGACGGGUGCGUAACACGUGGGUAAUCUGCCCUCGAGACGGGAAUAACUUGCCGAAAGGUAGGCUAAUGCCCGGUAAGCUCACGACUUCGAAGGGAGUUGGGAGAAAAGGGAGCAAUCCGCUCGAGGAUGAGCCCGGGCCCAUCAGGUAGUUGGCGGGGUAACGGCCCACCAAGCCGACGACGGGUAGCUGGUCUGAGAGGACGACCAGCCACACUGGAACUGAGACACGGUCCAGACUCCUACGGGAGGCAGCAGUAGGGAAUAUUGGACAAUGGGCGGAAGCCUGAUCCAGCCAUGCCGCGUGGAGGAUUAAGGCCCUCUGGGUUGUAAACUCCUUUUAUCUGGGAAGAACCAUUCCGACUUGUCGGAACAUGACGGUACCAGAGGAAUAAGCACCGGCUAACUCCGUG